UAAGCGGAGGAAAAGAAACCAACAGGGAUUGCCUCAGUAACGGCGAGUGAAGCGGCAACAGCUCAAAUUUGAAAUCUGGCCCUCGGGUCCGAGUUGUAAUUUGUAGAGGAUGUUUCGGGCACCGUCGCGGUGUAAAUUUCUUGGAACAGAAUGUCAUAGAGGGUGAGAAUCCCGUUUGAAACCGCGAUAGGACCUAUGUGAAACUCCUUCGACGAGUCGAGUUGUUUGGGAAUGCAGCUCAAAAUGGGUGGUAAAUUUCAUCUAAAGCUAAAUAUUGGCCAGAGACCGAUAGCGCACAAGUAGAGUGAUCGAAAGAUGAAAAGCACUUUGAAAAGAGAGUUAAACAGUAUGUGAAAUUGUUGAAAGGGAAGCGCAGGCAAUCAGACUCGAGCGCGGGGUUCCCCCUGGCUUCUGCCAGGGUUACUUCCCCGUGACCGGGCCAACAUCAGUUUGAGGGGCCGGUUAAAGGCCUUGGGAAUGUACUCACUCCUUCGGGGGUGAACUUAUAGCCCAGGGUGUCAUGCGGCCUCCCCGGACUGAGGAACGCGCUUCGGCGAGGAUGUUGGCGUAAUGGUUGUCUGCGACCCGUCUUGAAACACGGACCAAGGAGUCUAACAUCUAUGCGAGUGUUAGGGUGUCAAACCCUGGCGCGGAAUGAAAGUGAACGGAGGUAGGAAGGCUUAAGCCUGCACUAUCGACCGAUCCUGAUGUCUUCGGAUGGAUUUGAGUAAGAGCAUAGCUGUUGGGACCCGAAAGAUGGUGAACUAUGCGUGAAUAGGGUGAAGCCAGAGGAAACUCUGGUGGAGGCUCGCAGCGGUUCUGACGUGCAAAUCGAUCGUCAAAUUUGCGUAUAGGGGCGAAAGACUAAUCGAACCAUCUGGUAGCUGGUUCC
rnacentral:rRNA from 1 species